UAAAAUAUUUUAUAUUUUAAUGAUUUAAUUCUAGUCAUAAUAAAUAGCUAAAUUAUUAAUUUUACAUGUAAGAUUUAUCGUGAUGUUUAUUAAUUCUAAAAGGAUUUUUAAAUAUUAUUUUAUUCUCAGUUUUUAAUAUUAUUUAAAUUUAAAUAAUUUUAUAAAUAGUAAAUAAUAUUAGAGUUAGCUAAAGGUGUGCCAGCAGCUGCGGUUAAACACUUAAUUCUAGUUAUUUAUUUUUAAUUGUAAUUACUUUAAUAAUAUAAAUAAUUUUUUUAGUUUAAGGUGAAAUUUAACUAGAAUUUUAUAUUUUUGGUAAAGGAUUAUUAUGAAAUUCUUUUAUAAACUAGGAUUAGAUACCCUAUUAUUUUGAAUGUAAAAUUAAAUUAGUAUUAAUAGUUAUGAUCUUUAAAUUAAAAGAAUUUGACGGUAAUUUAAUCUGUUCAGAGGAGCCUGUUUAUUAAUUGAUAAUCCACGAUAAAUUUCACCUUAAAUUAUUAGUUUGUAUAUCUCUGUCUUAAGAAUGUUUUAUUAGAAUUAUUUUCAAUAAAUUUAUUUAUAAAAUUUAUGUCAGGUCAAGGUGCAGCUUUUUAGGGAAUUUUAUGGGCUACAAUUAUUUAUAAUAUUGGAUUAUUGGUUGUAUAAACUUUAUUGAAAAUGGAUUUGAUUGUAAUAUUUAUUAUAUUUUAUUUAUGAUACUUGCUCUGUAUUAAGUACACAUCGCCCGUCGCUCUUAUUGUUAUAAGAUAAGAUAAGUCGUAACAAAGUAGGCUUACCGGAAGGUGAGCCUGGAAUUAUUU
rnacentral:ncRNA from 1 species